rnacentral:tRNA from 1 species
GGGCUGGUAGCUCAGCGGUAGAGCAGUUGACUCUUAAUCAAUUGGUCGUGGGUUCGAAUCCCACUCAGCCCA